rnacentral:rRNA from 1 species
AGUAACGCGUGGGUAACCUGCCUCACACUGGGGGACAACAGUUAGAAAUGACUGCUAAUACCGCAUAAGCGCACAGCCUCACAUGAGGCAGUGUGAAAAACUCCGGUGGUACAGGAUGGUCCCGCGUCUGAUUAGCUAGUUGGUGAGGUAACGGCUCACCAAGGCGACGAUCAGUAGCCGACCUGAGAGGGUGAUCGGCCACAUUGGAACUGAGACACGGUCCAAACUCCUACGGGAGGCAGCAUG